rnacentral:lncRNA from 1 species
UUUACUGUAGCUGGAGUCUAUUGUUCUCUCCUUUGUCCUCCACAGAGGCUGGACGAGGCUCAGCAGGAGUUAGACCAGAGAGAGGAGGAGCUGAGGACUCUGAGGAGGAGGUGCACAGAGCUGGAGGCGCAGCUCACCGACACCAACAGACAGAGGGGGGAGCAGGAGGAGCACUUGCAGAGACAGCUGAAGGACCAGGAGGGGAGGGUGGGGGCCCUGGAGCGGAUUGUGGCCCAGAAAGAGGUGCUGCUGCUGGGUGUGCAGGAGCAGAAGAGCGCCCUUCAGUUGGAGCUCGGCUCUCAGAAGGAAGAGUGUCACAAACAAUGCACCCAAAUUCAGGAGCACGGAGAGCGUGAAAAGGAAGUGGCAUUGGAGGCACAGGGGUUGCAGUUAUCUUUGGCCCAUGAGAAAGAGCUUCAACAGGUGUGUGAGCCUCCUCCUUCUGCGUGCUGUUAGAAGCUGGUGAUAGAGAACCUAAAGGGGAGUUGAUUUAUCAUUUACUUUCUAUAGAAGUGUGAUGAACUGGGUCCUGAUAAUCAAUCAAAAUGAAUUUCUCACCCCAUAAAAUGUUGAGUAGUUAUAGAUGAGCGCUUUAUGCAGGUCCGUCUUCAGGGGCAGGAGGUGAAAUCAGCAGCUCUGAGAGAACAGGCCCAGUCUCACACACAACGCGUGGAGUCGCUUGAGAGCUGCAUCCAGGUCAGUGCAUCUGCACCUGCCUCUAUACUUAAGCAUCAAAUCAGUUUCACCGUUACCUCUGU